GUUGUCGUAGGGGGUGUGGCGAAAGGGUGAGUAACACGUGAGUAACCUGCCCUUGACUCUGGGAUAAGCCUGGGAAACUGGGUCUAAUACCGGAUAUGACUCCUCAUCGCAUGGUGGGGGGUGGAAAGCUUUUGUGGUUUUGGAUGGACUCGCGGCCUAUCAGCUUGUUGGUGGGGUAAUGGCCUACCAAGGCGACGACGGGUAGCCGGCCUGAGAGGGUGACCGGCCACACUGGGACUGAGACACGGCCCAGACUCCUACGGGAGGCAGCAGUGGGGAAUAUUGCACAAUGGGCGCAAGCCUGAUGCAGCGACGCCGCGUGAGGGAUGACGGCCUUCGGGUUGUAAACCUCUUUCAGUAGGGAAGAAGCCGUGAGGUGACGGUACCUGCAGAAGAAGCGCCGGCUAACUACGUGCCAGCAGCCGCGGUAAUACGUAGGGCGCAAGCGUUAUCCGGAAUUAUUGGGCGUAAAGAGCUCGUAGGCGGUUUGUCGCGUCUGCUGUGAAAGACCGGGGCUCAAC
rnacentral:rRNA from 3 species